ACUUUGCAGAUGUGGAUGAGUGCAAAGAGAAGCUGGCCUGUCAAUGCCCAGCAUGUAAAUGCAAAAAUACCUGGGGCAGUUAUGAAUGCAGCUGCAGUGGUGGUUUACUUUACAUGCGAGAACAUGAUACAUGCAUAAGUAAAGAUGCCAAAACAGAGGUCAGCUGGAGCUUUGUUUGGUUUAUUGUUCUUGGCUUGUCUGCUGCUGGUGCUGGGGGAUAUGCACUUUAUAAGUACAGGAUCCGGAGAUACAUGGAUUCAGAAAUCCGGGCUAUCAUGGCACAGUACAUGCCGUUGGACAAUCAACCUAAUAAUGUUCAACAUGCGGAGAUCUAAAAUUAGGACGGUAUAUAAGAGAUGCAAGAUGAAGCAGAUUAAGGAUCAUCUUUCCAAAAUCCUUUUGAGUGCUCGGCACCAAACACCACAUUUCAUUCAUGGGGUGUGAUAUCGUCUGCAAUCUUUUGCCAGCUCUUUUGCUCGGUUAGCAUUUUACUUUUUCCUCUUGGUUUAUUUGGUUGGAGAAUCUUGUCACCUGCUGUUAACAAUGUAAAUUUGAAGGUUUUACUGGUGCACAUAUUUUUAGUAUUAUCAUAAAAAAAUAAUAAUAAUUUCCACCUUUUUAGCA